rnacentral:tRNA from 1 species
AAUACCGGCCUGUCACGCCGGGGGUCGCGGGUUCGAGUCCCGUCCACUCCG